rnacentral:rRNA from 1 species
AGUCGAACGGUAACAGGGGAGCUUGCUCCCGCUGACGAGUGGCGAACGGGUGAGUAAUGCAUCGGAACGUGCCGAAUAGUGGGGGAUAACGCACCGAAAGGUGUGCUAAUACCGCAUACGCCCUGAGGGGGAAAGUGGGGGACCGCAAGGCCUCACGCUAAUCGAGCGGCCGAUGUCGGAUUAGCUAGUUGGUGGGGUAAAGGCUCACCAAGGCGACGAUCCGUAGCGGGUCUGAGAGGAUGAUCCGCCACACUGGUACUGAGACACGGCCCAGACUCCUACGGGAGGCAGCAGUGGGGAAUUUUGGACAAUGGGGGAAACCCUGAUCCAGCCAUGCCGCGUGUCUGAAGAAGGCCUUCGGGUUGUAAAGGACUUUUGUCCGGGAGGAAACCCUGAUCGUUAAUAGCGGUCGGGACUGACAGUACCGGAAGAAUAAGCACCGGCUAACUACGUGCCAGCAGCCGCGGUAAUACGUAGGGUGCAAGCGUUAAUCGGAAUUACUGGGCGUAAAGCGUGCGCAGGCGGUGAGAUAAGUCAGCUGUGAAAGCCCCGGGCUCAACCUGGGAACUGCGGCCGAAACUGUCUCGCUAGAGUACGUCAGAGGGGGGUGGAAUUCCACGUGUAGCAGUGAAAUGCGUAGAGAUGUGGAGGA